GACAGGUCAGUUGGUAGAGCAUGAGACUCUUUAAUCGCAGGGUCGUGGGUUCAAGCCCCACGUUGGGCG